GCCACCCUAGCUCAGCGGUAGAGCAGCGCUUUCGUAAAGCGCAGGUCGUGGGUUCAAAUCCCAUGGGUGGCU
rnacentral:tRNA from 1 species